GAAAUGCGAUAAGUAGUGUGAAUUGCAGAAUUCAGUGAAUCAUCGAAUCUUUGAACGCACAUUGCGCCCCUUGGUAUUCCAUGGGGCAUGGCUGUUCGAGCGUCAUCUACACCCUCAAGCUCUGCUUGGUGUUGGGCGUCUUUGUCCCGCCUCCGCGCGCGGACUCGCCCCAAAUUCAUUGGCAGCGGUCCUUACCUCCUCUCGCGCAGCACAUUGCGCUUCUCGAGGUGUUGCGGCCCGCGUCCAGAAAGCAAUCGUUACCGUCUUUGACCUCGGAUCAGGUAGGGAUACCCGCUGAACUUAAGC
rnacentral:misc_RNA from 1 species